AUGAUGAUACAUGCAAAUAUCACCCCUCCAGGGCAUACCCCAAACCAGCCAUACUUGUUGUUUUCAACAGCUUCAAGGAAAUGCUUGCACACCGUGCUUCUUGUUCACUACUUCUUCCAGCUUUUUCUCAUCCCAAUUAUCCACAGUAUUUUUUUCAAGUUCUUCAUCUCUUGCAUCAAUGUAAACACUUCGCUUUUCACAUUUUCUCUCCAGAGUCAAGUCCGGAGAGAACGUACACUUAUCUCCUUUAGCGCACUGUCCUUGCUUGAAGAAUGCACACACCGCAGACUGGGGAUCUGCACCUUUACUGAUUUUUGAGCAGCAACAACAGGUCUGAACAGUUCAUUCAGCUCCUGCAAUUCUUCCUUCUUGUCAUCCUUCUUCAAUUUCUUUUCAGCUUCACUCUGUGCUACCUAAUAUGAUUAGAGGAUUCAUCCAAACAUUAUAUGUCAGGUCCUGACGUGGAUUUUGUUGACCAAAUUUAACCUGAUGUGUAACAGCCUUGAUAAACUUCUGUUGCUUUGCUCCUUUCUUAUUCUUCAAACAAAAGUUUUGUCUUCGAUAAUCUUCUCCUUCUUUUUCUGCUCUCCUUUUUUGCUGCCCCUGGCCUGAGCCUGUUUCUUGGGGGGCAUUGCGGAGACAGGUGACACUGGACAGACUUCAGUGCAGCUGUAUACUGUCAGGGGUUCUGGCCCUGCGGCAGGAGGAGGAGGACCGGGGCCUCACUAGCCGCACUGCACGGAAAGUGAGUCCGGCCCCUUUUUUUUUUUUUUUGAGAUGGAGUCUCGCUCUGUCGGCAGGCUGGAGUGCAGUGAUGCAGCCUCAGCUCACUGCAACCUCCGCCUUCUGGGUUCAAGCAAUUCUCCUGCCUCAGCCUCCUGAGUAGAUGAGACUGCAGGUGUAAGCCACCAUGCCCAGCUGAUUUUUUUUUUUUUUUGUAUUUUUAGUAGAGAUGGGGUUUCACCAUGUUGGCCAGGAUGGCCUCAGUCUCUUGACCUCAUGAUCUGCCCACCUUGGCCUCCCAAAGUGCUGGUAUUACAGCGUGGGCCACAGCGCCUGGCCUGAGACGUACCUUUUUCAUAGCAUGAAUUUCCAGCUCCUCAGUGUUAGAAAAGAAAUGCUGCUUAUUGAUCGCUUAAACGGUUCCCUGUCUUCUGGACGCACCAUGUGAGAGUUAAAAGGACGGGGUCUAGAAUCAAACUAUGUGGGCCCAAACGCGGCUCAGCCAUUUACUAGCUAUGUGGCCUCAGGGGUAAAACCCUCUGGGCCCCAGUUUUUUUAAGCUGUAAAAUGGGGAUAGUAAUAGUACCUUCCUGUG
rnacentral:lncRNA from 13 species